UACAGAGGUCUCAAGCGUUGUUCGGAUUCAUUGGGCGUAAAGGGUGCGUAGGCGGCGCGGUAAGUCGGGUGUGAAAUCUUACAGCUUAACUGUGAACUUGCUUUCGAUACGGGCAGACUUGAGGCAUUCAGGGGAGAACGGAAUUCCUGGUGUAGCGGUGAAAUGCGCAGAUAUCAGGAGGAACACCGGUGGCGAAGGCGGUUCUCUGGGAAUGUCCUGACGCUGAGGAGCGAAAGUGUGGGGAGCGAACAGG
rnacentral:rRNA from 1 species